rnacentral:rRNA from 1 species
CAUGCAAGUCGAGCGAGAAAGUGACUUCGGUCGCGAGUAAAGCGGCGAACGGGUGAGUACAACGUGGAUAAUCUACCCUAAGGUCCGGGACAACCCCGAGAAAUCGGAGCUAAUACCGGAUAAGACCACAGUAUCCAAGGAUACAGCGGUAAAAGAUUUAUCGCCUUUGGAUGAGUCCACGUCCCAUCAGGUAGUUGGUAAGGUAAAAGCUUACCAAGCCUAAGACGGGUAGCCGGCCUUAGCGGGUGAACGGCCACAUGGGGACUGAGACACGGCCCUGACUCCUACGGGAGGCAGCAGUGGGGAAUAUUGGGCAAUGGGCGAAAGCCUGACCCAGCGAUGCCGCGUGAGGGAUGAAGGCCUUCGGGUCGUAAACCUCUGUCAGGAGGGACGAUGGGACACUUGUGUCUUGACGGUACCUCCAGAGGAAGCCCCGGCUAACUCCGUGCCAGCAGCCGCGGUAAUACGGAGGGGGCAAGCGUUGCUCGGAAUUACUGGGCGUAAAGGGUCCGCAGGCUGUCAGGCAAGUUGGUUGUGAAAGCUCAAGGCUUAACCUUGGAAUUGCAUCCAAAACUGCCUGACUAGAGUCCAAGAGAGGUUGGCGGAACUCCGGGUGUAGCGGUGAAAUGCAUAGAUAUCGGGAGGAACACCAGAGGCGAAGGCGGCCAACUGGCUUGGAACUGACG